CUAAGUUUGAUGGCGACCGGCGCACGGGUGAGUAACACGUAUCCAACCUGCCGAUGACUCGGGGAUAGUCUUUCGAAAGAAAGAUUAAUACCCGAUGGCAUAGUUCUUCCGCAUGGUAGAACUAUUAAAGAAUUUCGGUCAUCGAUGGGGAUGCGUUCCAUUAGGUUGUUGGCGGGGUAACGGCCCACCAAGCCUUCGAUGGAUAGGGGUUCUGAGAGGAAGGUCCCCCACAUUGGAACUGAGACACGGUCCAAACUCCUACGGGAGGAGCAUG
rnacentral:rRNA from 1 species